rnacentral:rRNA from 1 species
UACGGGGGGGGCAAGCGUUGUUCGGAAUUACUGGGCGUAAAGGGCUCGUAGGUGGCCAACUAAGUCGGACGUGAAAUCCCUCGGCUCAACCGGGGAACUGCGUCUGAUACUGGCGGGCUUGAAUCCGGGAGAGGGAUGUGGAAUUCCAGGUGUAGCGGUGAAAUGUGUAGAGAUCGGGAGGAACACCGGUGGCGAAGGCGGGUCUCUGGGCAUCUCCUGACGCUGAGGCGCGAAAGCGUGGGGAGCAAACGGG